rnacentral:tRNA from 1 species
GGCCCGAUAGCUUAAUGGGAAAGCACCAGACUGAAGAUCUGCGAGAUUGAGGGUUCGAUUCCCUCUCGGGCCAC